rnacentral:rRNA from 1 species
GACGAACGCUGGCGGCGUGCCUAAUACAUGCAAGUCGUGCGGACUUAUCUUCGGAUAAGUUAGCGGCGGACGGGUGAGUAACACGUGGGCAACCUGCCUGUAAGACUGGGAUAACUCCGGGAAACCGGUGCUAAUACCAGAUACAAUCAAAGACCGCUUGGUCUUUGAUGGAAAGGUCUUGUACCGCUUACAGAUGGGCCCGCGGCGCAUUAGCUAGUUGGUGGGGUAAUGGCCUACCAAGGCGACGAUGCGUAGCCGACCUGAGAGGGUGAUCGGCCACACUGGGACUGAGACACGGCCCAGACUCCUACGGGAGGCAGCAGUAGGGAAUCUUCCGCAAUGGACGAAAGUCUGACGGAGCAACGCCGCGUGAGUGAUGAAGGCUUUCGGGUCGUAAAACUCUGUUGUCAGGGAAGAACAUCCGGGAUAACCUCCCGGUCUGACGGUACCUGAUCAGAAAGCCCCGGCUAACUACGUGCCAGCAGCCGCGGUAAUACGUAGGGGGCAAGCGUUGUCCGGAAUUAUUGGGCGUAAAGCGCGCGCAGGCGGUUUCUUAAGUCUGGUGUGAAAGCCCGCAGCUCAACUGCGGAGGGCCACUGGAAACUGGGAAGCUUGAGUGUAGGAGAGGAGAGCGGAAUUCCACGUGUAGCGGUGAAAUGCGUAGAUAUGUGGAGGAACACCCGUGGCGAAAGCGGCUCUCUGGCCUAUAACUGACGCUGAGGCGCGAAAGCGUGGGGAGCGAACAGGAUUAGAUACCCUGGUAGUCCACGCCGUAAACGAUGAGUGCUAGGUGUUGGGGACUCCAAUCCUCAGUGCCGCAGCUAACGCAAUAAGCACUCCGCCUGGGGAGUACGGCCGCAAGGCUG